CUGACCCUUUUUCACCCCAUUUCACUUUAGGACACGCUCUGGGCAUGUUCCAGGAAUUUCUAAAGUCCCUCACUGUUUUUUUUUUUUUUUUCUCACCCCCUUCUUCCAACUUGGUCCCUAAACACGUUAAUUUGUUCCUAGAAAUUAUCUACUUGUUUGUUAUGUUUUGGGUUUAGGUUUUUUUUUUGUUUUUUUUUUUUUUUUUUUUUUUUUUUUUGCUAACAUGUAGAUGUUUUGUCAUUUUCUUUUUNNNNNNNNNNNNNNNNNNNNGGUUUUUUUUUUGUUUUUUUUUUUUUUUUUUUUUUUUUUUUUUUUGUUUUGUUUUUUUUUUUGUUUUUUGUUUUGUUUUGUUUGUUUUGCACACAGAAAUCCUCAGACCAAAGCAAACACUGCCCCAGAAAAAUGUUGCAAUUCAACCCAGUUUUGAGGGAAGUGUCUCUGAUAACUUCUCAGCUCCAAAGAGAAGCAGUGGAGGCUGGGGCCACCGAGUCUCCAUGGAAAUCACGGAGGGUCUCAUCAGGUCCAGCCCGAAGGAGAGGAGCGGGUUUGAGCUGUGUUUGCACCGUCUGGCCAGGAAGAGAGGACUCAUCUCUGCCACAAAGGACCGUGAGACACAGCUCCUGAUCUGCGAGCACUUGCUCUUGCUACAGGCACUAACUGAGGGAAGCCUAGGUGGCC
rnacentral:lncRNA from 1 species